rnacentral:rRNA from 1 species
GACGAACGCUGGCGGCGGGCUUAACACAUGCAAGUCGAACGGAAAGGCCCUGCUUUUGUGGGGUGCUCGAGUGGCGAACGGGUGAGUAACACGUGAGUAACCUGCCCUUGACUUUGGGGUAACUUCAGGAAACUGGGGCUAAUACCGGAUAGGAGCUCCUGCUGCAUGGUGGGGGUUGGAAAGUUUCGGCGGGUGGGGAUGGACUCGCGGCUUAGCAGCUUGUUGGUGGGGUAGUGGCUUACCAAGGCUUUGACGGGUAGCCGGCCUGGGAGGGUGACCGGCCACAUUGGGACUGAGAUACGGCCCAGACUCCUACGGGAGGCAGCAGUCGGGAAUAUUGCACAAUGGGCGGAAGCCUGAUGCAGCAACGCCGCGUGCGGGAUGACGGCCUUCGGGUUGUAAACCGCUUUCGCCUGUGACGAAGCGUGAGUGACGGUAAUGGGUAAAGAAGCACCGGCUAACUACGUG